rnacentral:tRNA from 1 species
GGCCUAGUAGUUUAAUUUUAAAAUGUUUAGUUUACACCUAGUAGUUGUGUUUUUGAUGCCUUGGCUA